AUGGCGCAGUCGUCGUUGCGGCGGUGGGCGGCGAGGGUGGUGGCGUUGGUGGUGGUUCUUGGGCUGUUGUUGGCGGCGGCUGCGGCGGAGGAGGGAGAUGGAGGGGGAGGGGACGGGGCGGCGCUGAUGGCCCUCAAGGCGGGCUUCGGCAACGCCGCCAACGCGCUCGCCGACUGGGACGGCGGCCGCGACCACUGCGCCUGGCGGGGCGUCGCCUGCGACGCCAACUCCUUCGCCGUCCUCUCCCUGAACCUGUCAAAUCUGAACCUGGGUGGGGAGAUCUCGCCGGCGAUAGGGGAGCUCAAGGCCCUACAGUUCAUGGAUCUCAAGGGGAACAAGCUCACAGGCCAAAUCCCAGACGAGAUUGGGGACUGCGUCUCCUUAAAAUACUUGGAUUUGUCCUUCAACCUGCUGUAUGGAGACAUCCCCUUCUCCAUCUCCAAGCUCAAGCAACUCGAGGAUCUGAUUCUGAAGAACAACCAGCUCACGGGACCCAUCCCUUCCACACUGUCCCAGAUUCCAAAUCUCAAAAUCUUGGAUCUGGCGCAGAACCAGCUUACAGGCGACAUCCCAAGGCUAAUCUACUGGAAUGAAGUUCUGCAAUACCUAGGCUUGAGGGGUAACUCACUCGCUGGAACCUUGUCACCUGACAUGUGCCAACUCACUGGCCUGUGGUACUUUGAUGUGAGGGGCAACAAUCUAACAGGAACAAUUCCACUGAGCAUAGGGAACUGCACAAGCUUUGAGAUUCUGGACAUUUCAUAUAACAAAAUCUCUGGAGAAAUACCUUACAACAUAGGUUUCCUUCAAGUAGCUACACUGUCACUUCAAGGAAAUAGACUGACUGGGAAAAUUCCAGAAGUGAUUGGCCUCAUGCAAGCUCUUGCUGUUCUUGAUCUGAGCGAAAAUGAACUAGUAGGUCCCAUUCCUCCGAUACUCGGCAACCUAUCCUACACGGGCAAACUAUAUUUACAUGGCAAUAAACUUACUGGAGAAGUACCACCAGAACUUGGGAACAUGACGAAACUUAGCUACCUGCAACUGAACGACAAUGAAUUAGUUGGCACAAUUCCAGCUGAGCUUGGGAAACUUGAAGAGCUAUUCGAAUUAAAUCUUGCCAACAACAAUCUUGAGGGUCCUAUUCCUACAAACAUCAGUUCUUGCACUGCACUAAACAAAUUCAAUGUUUACGGCAAUAGAUUAAACGGUUCUAUCCCUGCUGGUUUCCAGAAUUUGGAGAGUUUGACUAACUUGAAUUUAUCCUCGAACAAUUUUAAAGGCCAUAUCCCAUCUGAACUUGGUCAUAUCAUCAAUUUGGACACACUGGAUCUUUCCUACAAUGAAUUCUCUGGACCAGUUCCUGCUACUAUUGGUGAUCUUGAGCAUCUUCUUCAACUAAAUUUGAGCAAAAACCUUCUUAGUGGGUCAGUGCCUGUUGAGUUCGGAAACUUGAGAAGCAUCCAAGUAAUUGAUUUAUCCAACAACGCAAUGUCUGGUUAUCUCCCUGAAGAACUAGGCCAACUUCAGAACCUUGAUAGUUUGAUUCUUAACAACAAUACUUUGGUUGGGGAGAUCCCUGCUCAGUUGGCUAACUGCUUCAGCUUAAACAUCUUGAACUUGUCAUAUAACAACUUCUCUGGACAUGUCCCAUUGGCUAAGAACUUCUCAAAGUUCCCCAUGGAAAGCUUCUUGGGAAAUCCGAUGCUGAGUGUUCACUGCAAAGACUCCAGCUGUGGCAACUCUCAUGGAUCAAAAGUGAAUAUUCGGACAGCGAUUGCUUGCAUCAUCUCGGGCUUCGUCAUAUUGCUCUGUGUUCUGCUAUUGGCGAUAUAUAAAACAAAGCGACCACAGCCACCUAUCAAAGCAUCUGAUAAACCAGUGCAAGGACCUCCAAAGAUAGUGCUCCUCCAAAUGGACAUGGCUAUCCAUACCUAUGAUGAUAUUAUGAGGCUGACAGAGAACUUGAGUGAGAAAUACAUCAUCGGCUAUGGCGCUUCAAGUACCGUGUAUAAAUGUGUGCUCAAGAGUGGCAAGGCCAUCGCUGUGAAGCGGCUCUACAGCCAAUACAACCAUGGCGCCCGUGAGUUCGAGACGGAACUGGAGACAGUCGGUAGCAUCCGGCACAGGAAUCUUGUCAGCCUUCAUGGCUUCUCACUCUCUCCUAAUGGAAACCUGCUCUUCUACGACUACAUGGAAAACGGUUCCUUGUGGGAUCUUCUCCAUGGUCCAUCAAAGAAGGUGAAACUUGACUGGGAGACCCGACUGAGGAUCGCGGUUGGCGCGGCACAAGGGCUGGCCUAUCUGCACCAUGACUGCAACCCUCGGAUAGUCCACCGAGACGUCAAGUCCUCCAACAUCCUGCUCGAUGAGCACUUUGAAGCGCAUCUCUCGGACUUCGGCAUCGCCAAAUGCGUCCCGGCUGCCAAGACCCACGCAUCCACUUAUGUGCUAGGAACCAUCGGCUACAUCGAUCCGGAGUACGCCCGGACGUCGAGGCUGAACGAGAAAUCCGACGUGUACAGCUUCGGUAUCGUUCUUCUGGAGUUGCUCACGGGGAUGAAGGCCGUCGACAAUGAUUCCAACUUGCACCAGUUGAUAAUGUCGAGAGCGGACGACAACACGGUGAUGGAGGCGGUGGACUCGGAGGUGUCGGUGACGUGCACGGACAUGGGGCUGGUGCGGAAGGCGUUCCAGCUGGCCCUGCUGUGCACCAAGCGGCACCCCAUCGACCGGCCGACGAUGCACGAGGUGGCCCGGGUGCUGCUCUCGCUGAUGCCGGCCCCUGCCGCCGCAAAGCCCUACUCCUACGCGGCGACGGACGCCUCCAAGAAGGUGGACUACACGCGCUACCUGGCAGCGGCGACGACGCCCGACGACACUGCUGGCGACAACAGCUCCUCCGACGAGCAGUGGUUCGUGCGGUUCGGCGAGGUCAUCUCCAAGCACACCAUGUGA
rnacentral:rRNA from 1 species